GACGAACGCUGGCGGCGUGCCUAAUACAUGCAAGUAGAACGCACAGUUUAUACCGUAGCUUGCUACACCAUAGACUGUGAGUUGCGAACGGGUGAGUAACGCGUAGGUAACCUGCCUGGUAGCGGGGGAUAACUAUUGGAAACGAUAGCUAAUACCGCAUAAUAUUAAUUAUUGCAUGAUAAUUAAUUGAAAGGUGCAAUUGCACCACUACCAGAUGGACCUGCGUUGUAUUAGCUAGUAGGUGAGGUAACGGCUCACCUAGGCGACGAUACAUAGCCGACCUGAGAGGGUGAUCGGCCACACUGGGACUGAGACACGGCCCAGACUCCUACGGGAGGCAGCAGUAGGGAAGCUUCGGCAAUGGACGAAAGUCUGACCGAGCAACGCCGCGUGAGUGAAGAAGGUUUUCGGAUCGUAAAGCUCUGUUGUAAGAGAAGAACGGGUGUGAGAGUGGAAAGUUCACACUGUGACGGUAGCUUACCAGAAAGGGACGGCUAACUACGUG
rnacentral:rRNA from 1 species